rnacentral:rRNA from 1 species
GAUGAACGCUGGCGGCGUGCCUAAUACAUGCAAGUCGAGCGAACAGACGAGGAGCUUGCUCCUCUGACGUUAGCGGCGGACGGGUGAGUAACACGUGGAUAACCUACCUAUAAGACUGGGAUAACUUCGGGAAACCGGAGCUAAUACCGGAUAAUAUAUUGAACCGCAUGGUUCAAUAGUGAAAGACGGUUUUGCUUUCACUUAUAGAUGGAUCCGCGCCGCAUUAGCUAGUUGGUAAGGUAACGGCUUACCAAGGCAACGAUGCGUAGCCGACCUGAGAGGGUGAUCGGCCACCCUGGAACUGAGACACGGUCCAGACUCCUACGGGAGGCAGCAGUAGGGAAUCUUCCGCAAUGGGCGAAAGCCUGACGGAGCAACGCCGCGUGAGUGAUGAAGGUCUUCGGAUCGUAAAACUCUGUUAUUAGGGAAGAACAAAUGUGUAAGUAACUAUGCACGUCUUGACGGUACCUAAUCAGAAAGCCACGGCUAACUACGUG